rnacentral:rRNA from 1 species
CGGAGGGAUCAUUACAGAGUUUUCUAACUCCCAAACCCAUGUGAACUUACCACUGUUGCCUCGGCGGAGCCUACCCUGUAGCUACCCUGUAGCGUGAUUACCCUGUAGGGUGGUUACCCUGUAGCGUGGUUACCCUGUAGCGCCCCGCCGGCGGAUUUUCAAACUCUUGUUAUUUUUUAAGUCAUCUGAGAGUCUUAUUUUAAAUAAGUCAAAACUUUCAACAACGGAUCUCUUGGUUCUGGCAUCGAUGAAGAACGCAGCGAAAUGCGAUAAGUAAUGUGAAUUGCAGAAUUCAGUGAAUCAUCGAAUCUUUGAACGCACAUUGCGCCCAUUAGUAUUCUAGUGGGCAUGCCUGUUCGAGCGUCAUUUCAACCCUUAAGCCUAGCUUAGUGUUGGGAAUCUAUGUGUGGCCCAAGCUACCCUGUAGCGUGGUUACCCUGUAGUUCCUGAAAAACAACGGCGGAUUUAUAGUGUCCUCUGAGCGUAGUAAUUUUUUAUCUCGCUUCUGUUUAGGCGCUGCAGACCCGGCCGCUAAACCCCCAAUUUUUCGUGGUUGACCUCGGAUCAGGUAGGAAUACCCGCUGAACUUAAGCAUAUCAAUAAGCGGAGGAAAAGAAACCAACAGGGAUUCCC